AGAUGCCGGAAGCCCUGUAACGGGAUGGGAUCCGAAGCCUCCUGAAGAUUCCAUCCAACUCCUAUUCCGAUACGUCCACGUCAUGCAGGGUGGUAACAUGGGCCUAAACCUAAUCUUUUGGGCGGGUGACGACUCAUGGCUAAGGAGGAAGGG
rnacentral:ribozyme from 1 species